rnacentral:misc_RNA from 1 species
AACGCACAUUGCGCCCGCCAGUAUUCUGGCAGGCAUGCCUGUUCGAGCGUCAUUACAACCAUCAAGCCCUAGGCUUGUGUUGGGGACCUGCGGCUGCCGCAGCCCCCUAAAAGUAGUGGCGGGCUCACUGUUACACCGAGCGCAGUAGUUUCUUCUCGCAAGGUCGUUACAGCGGGUUCUAGCCGUUAAAUGCCCUGAAUUUUCAAGGUUGACCUCGGAUCAGGUAGGAAUACCCGCUGAACUUAA